rnacentral:rRNA from 1 species
UACGAAGGGGGCUAGCGUUGUUCGGAAUUACUGGGCGUAAAGCGCGCGUAGGCGGGUUUGCCAGUCAGGGGUGAAAUGCCAGGGCUUAACCUUGGAACUGCCUUUGAUACUGCAAGUCUGGAGUACGGGAGAGGUGAGUGGAAUUCCGAGUGUAGAGGUGAAAUUCGUAGAUAUUCGGAGGAACACCAGAAGCGAAGGCGGCUCACUGGCCCGAUACUGACGCUGAGGCGCGAAAGCGUGGGGAGCAAACAGG